rnacentral:rRNA from 1 species
UACAGAGGUCCCAAGCGUUGUUCGGAUUCACUGGGCGUAAAGGGUGCGUAGGUGGCUUGGUAAGUUUGAUGUGAAAUCUCCGGGCUUAACCCGGAAAUGGCAUUGAAUACUAUUGAGCUGGAGGUUUGGAGGGGGGACUGGAAUUCUCGGUGUAGCAGUGAAAUGCGUAGAUAUCGAGAGGAACACCAGUGGCGAAAGGCGAGUCCCUGGACAACACCUGACACUGAGGCACGAAAGCUAGGGGGAGCAAACAGG